CUCCAAUUUGGCGGCGUUAAGUGCCCGAACAUACUCGAUAGCUUUCUCUUGGGGUCGAAGGUUCGGAUCAAAAUUUCGAAAAACUCUCUGAAGAUCUUGGCGAGUCAAUUCAUCAGUGGAGCGUGAUAUUACUUUGACCUUCAUAGCUUAGGGUUUUUGGUUUUAGGGUUUAACUUAUUUUCAAUGAUAUAAGAGUUGCGAAAUUUCUG
rnacentral:misc_RNA from 1 species